GGGUAUAGCUCAGUGGUAGAGCACAUGCUUAGCAUGCUGGAGGUCCUGGGUUCAAUCCCCAGUACCUCCA
rnacentral:tRNA from 1 species